CGGGGCGGGGUCCGCCGCGCCUGCGGGCCGCGCGCGCCUGUGCUGCAGUGUGCGGCGCAUGGCUGCGAGGGCCUGGCGGGGGGGCGGGCGCGAGUCGGAAAGACACCGAUCGGGGAAUGGGCGAGGAGGCUUGCCUUAAUUCGCAGGAAGCCUAGGACUUGGGAGAGCCAUACAAUUUGAAAGAUGAGGCACCGUGAAAUGCAGAAACUUGUGGUUCGGAUAGCUCAGCUGAUUAAUUUCAUGUUGCCACUGUUUGUGAGUUUUGCCUUUUUAUUUUCUCAGUUCGUUCUGUGCUUACCUGAUAAUGUGAAAAACACGAGCUUUAGAAAACCGAGUAGGUGUACUUGGUUUACUGUAAUGACUUGUUCUCGAAAGUUAGGGUACCAAACGCUGGAGGCAAAUAAUAUUUCAGUCAUUCGAAGAACAGUGCCCGAGCAUUUAACAUUGAAGCUGUUAAAAGGGCAGUGUAGGCCCGAAUUUUGGAUCGAAGCCAUCAACUUUAUGGAACAGUCCUAGGGGCUUUUUGAAAAGGAGAUUUAAAAACACAUUUCAGAGGUGAUAGCCGAGUUAAGGAAGUGAGAAAAAACUUGGAUAGGGAGGAAAUAAAUGGACACUGAAGGAUGUUAGGAAGUAGGGAUUCCUUGUGCAACUUAGAGUUUUGUAAAUAAGACUGCUUGGCCUUAUGUCAAGAUACAUCAGUUGGUUAUAGCUUAGCGCUUGGAGGCCUACGUUAUAGUAGACUAGUUCUCCCUCCGCCCCGCCCCUUGAAAAUCUAUUUCAAGACCAUAAACCACAUUGCUAAUCCUUGGAAAUGCAGAAGAAGGUGGUUAGGUUUAAAAUGUGGCUUUAAAAUGGUCCUAGCAGAAACCUAUUGAUGUUACUAUUCAAAAUAUCUGCCCAGUAUAUAGGAAACAAAAAGGUAAAACCUAAAACACUAGAAAUUCAUAGUUCAUCUUCAGUUAUUAGCCUAUUAAGAUUUGGUAAAGCCUUCAUCCUUCAUUUCAGACAAAUAAAUUUAUGUGGUUAAUAAGUGUGUAUUUUGUAAUGAGUUAUGUGUGUGUAUGUGUGUGUGUGUGUGUCCACCCAUCUGAACUUGACCUGCAAACCAGGAGGUUCUUGUUUAUUUCUGGUAAAUAUUUUUGAUAGUCUUAUUAAAGGCAUUUAAUUCAAAAAUCCAAAUUUGCACACAUUUUUCCAGCUGAGUAGAGAAGGCUGGAAUGUUUGAAUAUUGAAUAUUCAAUUCAAUAUUCAGUUCUCACUUAUUUUUUCCUCUUAUUCUUUAAAAAAAAAAUUAAGCCAGUUAAAUUUAGAAGUGGGGGGUUGUAUACCAAUUUUAGUGACACUAAUGUUAAUAAGUUCUGAUAACCCACUCCCAUUGGACAACCCCCAUUGUUACUUUUUCUUAAAAGGAGUCUGAAAAUAAUUAGUUUGCUUUAACUGGAAGAACGAAUGUUAGGGAACCACCCUGCUGAACUCCAUUUUGCUGUCAGCUCUGGAUAAAAGCUAUUUUAUCCAGAAAAGCUAUCUCUGUGCAGAAAUUUUGAAUAGUUUAGGAACCAAAAUAGGUUUCUAGACAUUCUGAAGCCACCCUUCUACCCUAACCACCUUACGUAUUUCCAAGGAUUAGUGAUGUAGUUUAUGCUCUUGGAAUAGAUUUUUCUGGGGGAAGGGAGAACCUCCCUUGUAGCUCUCUGCAGAUUAUCAGAGUCACUACUGCAGGGAUUUGCUCCUGUGGGCCUAUAUGUCUCCCUAGAUACCUUUCUAAAAUUAUUAGCUUUGUUAUCUCUGUAUUCCCCUGUAGUGAAUAAGGAAGUAUUUUGUUUUUGUUUUUGUUUUGUCCUUAAUAAUACGUCAGAUUUCACAGAAUAAUCAAAGUAAAAGAGAACUUUAUUUUUUGACCGAAACUCUGUAUCCAAAAAAAAAAAAAAAACAAAAAACCAUAUGUUGUUAUUCAGUAUUUGAACAUCUGAACAUUUUGUUGUCUAAGGAGUUUGUCCUUGCCGGCAUUAUUAAACUGCUUCCUUAGCUGUGAACACUGUAUGACUGUGGGUUGUGUCUGGAAAGGAAUAUGAUUUGCUAGUUGUUUUUGGUUUUUUUUAAAUUAGCUUCUCAUUUUCUUAUACUUGCCUCAGUUUCCUCAUCUAGUUUUAAUAUGGAAUUGAUUUUGAAAUUGUGUUACCCAAGCUCUUUUUUUUUUUUUGAUAAGGAUUCUCACUCUGUCGCCAGGCUGGAGUGCAGUCGUGCGAUCUCAGCUCACUGCAACCUCCGCCUCUUGGGUUCAAGCGAUUCUCCUGCCUCAGCAUCCCGAGUAGCUGGGACUAUAGGCAUGUACCACCAUGCCCAGCUAAUUUUUGUAUUUUUAGUAGAGACAGGGUUUCACCAUGGUUGCCAGGAUGGUCUCGAGCUCUUGACUUUGUGAUCUGCCCAUCUUGGCCUCCCAAAGUGCUGGAAUUAUGAGCUGUGGUGCCUGGCUUUUUUUUUUCUUUGAGACAGAGUUUCACUCUUGUUGCCAAGGUUGGAGUGCAGUGGAGUGAUCUCGGCUCACUGUAACCUCCACCUCCUAGGUUCAAGCGAUUCUCCUGCCUCAGCCUCCCAAGUAACAGGGAUUACAAGCACCUGCUACCAUGCCCAGCAAAUUUUGAUAUUUUUAGCAGAGAGGGGGUUUUACCAUGUUGGCCAGGCUAGUCUUGAGCUCAGGUGAUCCUCCCACCUCGGCCUCCCAAAGUGCUGGGGUUACAGGCACGAGCCACCGUGCCUGGCCAAGUUACCCUAGCUCUUAUGUUCCUGUUUCCCUAACAUAAUACCUCCUCUACUUAUGAGAGAACUCCUAAUAUUAAGGGGAGAUGAAGGUCAUUUUUUGUAACUUCUUCCUGCUGAGAGUGGACAUUGAUCUUUGGGUUAGGAUUCUCUCAUAAGGAUUUGCAGUCAGCUUCACGAUGUUCUGAUGGUUCUUUUCUUUGUUCUUUUUUUUUCUUUUGGACAAAGUUUUGCUCUGUUGCCAGGCUAGAGUGCAGUGGCAUGGUCUCAGCUCACUGCAACCUCCACCUCCCAGGUUCAAGGGAUUUUCCUGCCUCACCUUUCUGAGCAGCUGAGAGUACAGGUACACACCGCCAUGCCCAGCUGCUUUUUUUUUUUUUUUGACACAGAGUCUUGCUCUGUCACCAGGCUGAAGUACAGUGGCGCAAUCUCGGUUCACUGCAACCUCUGCUUCCUGGGUUCAAGUGAUUCUUCUGCGUCAGCCUCCCAAGUAGCUGGGACCACAGACACGUGUCACCAUGCCCAGCUAAUUUUUGGAUUUUUAGUAGAGACGGGUUUCACCAUGUUGGCCGGGAUGGUCUCGAUCUCUUGACCUCGUGAUCCGCCCACCUCAGCCUCCCAAAGUGCUGGGAUUACAGGCGUGAGCCACCGCACCCAGCCUAAUUUUUGUAUUUUUAGUAGAGACAGGGUUUCACCAUGUUGGCUGGGAUGGUCUUGAUCUCUUGACCUCGUGAUCCACCCGCCUUAGCCUCCCAAAGUGCUAGGAUUACAGGUGUGAGCCACCACACCUGGUGAUGUUCUGAUGAUUCUGUGGGCAUAGCCCUGCCCAGUAUUGGAGAAGUAAAAAUCUCUGGAUGUCUGAUCUGUGGUACCUAAAGGCAGGAUGUCUGUAUUUCUCAGGUUAGAAGAUGGUAUGGGUUGGAAGCCUUCUGCCAACAUAAUCUUUAUGUGGGAUUGUUGUAAUCUAGUAGACACAAACUUCACCAAAGUGUUAAACAAGCAAGGGCCAAAGACUAGUAAUAACAAGAUAGCGAUCAAAGGUCCUAGGAAGAGGAAAAACCAGUUGAGACUCAGGAGGGUGCUUUUUUUUCCUUUUUCUGUUUUUCUUUUCCCCCAGGUAGGGUCUUGCUAUGUUGCCCAGGCUUGAUUGAACUCCUGGCCUCAAGUGAUUCUCCUGCCUUGGCCUCCCAAAGUGCUGAGAUUACAGGCCUGAGCUACUGAGCCUUGUCUAACCUCUAAAUCUCUACUUUUAUAGGAGGUUUUUUUUUUUUUUUUUUUUUUUGGAGACAGUGUCUUGCUCUGUGGCCUAUGCUAGAGAUGGAGAGCAGUGGUGUGAUCAUGGCUCACUGCAGCCUUGACCUCCUGGCUGAAGCUAUCCUCCUACCUCAGCCUCCCAAGUAGCUUGGACUACAGGUGCCCAGCUAAUUUUUGUAUUUUUAUAGAGGACAGCCAUGUUUCCCAGGCUGGUCUCGAACUCUCCUUGCAGGCAUUAUUAAGCUGCUUCCUGUGGGGCACAGUGGCUCACACUUGUAAUCCCAGCACUUUCGGAGGCCAAGGCGGAUGGAUCACCUGAGAUCAGGAGUUCAAGACCAGCCUGGCCAACAUGGUGAAACUCCAUCUCUACUGAAAAUACAGAAAUUAAACAGGUGUGGUGGCAGGCACUUAUACUCCCAGCUAUUCAGGAGGCUGAGACAGGAGAAUCACUUGAGCCAGGGAGGCAGAGGUUGCAGUGAGCCGAGAUUGCACCACUGUAUUCCAGCCUGGGUGACAAGAGCAAAACUCUGUCUCAAAAAAAAAAAAAAGCUACCUCCUUAGCUGUAGACAUCUUUUGACCAUGGAUGAUGGCUGGCAAGCAAUGUACCUUGCUAGUUUUAAGAUGGAAUUGAUUUUAAAAUUAUGUCAUCCUGGCUCCCCUAUACUUCUGUUUCUCUCUCUUUUUUUUUUUUUUUCUGAAACAGGGUCUCACUCUGUUGCCCAGGCUGGAGUGAGUGUGGCAGUGGGAUCUCAACUCACUAUAGCUCUACCUCCCCAACUUAAGGGAUCUUCCCAUCUCAGCCUCCCAAGUAGCUGGGACAAUAGGCAUUGCCACCACACCCCGCUAGUUUAUUUAUUUUUUUUGUAGUGAUGGGGUUUCUCCAUAUUGCCCAUGGACUCAAACUCCUGGACUCAAGCAAUCCACCUGCCUUGGCCUCUCAAAGUGCUGGGAUUAUAGGUGUGAGCCACCACACCCAACUGUAACACAUUUUAAUGCCAGAAAUAUUGAAUAACUUUAUUUUGCCUCUUCUUUUCUUUUUUUUUUUUUCUCAGACAGUCUUGCUGUGUUGCCCAAGCUGGAGUACAGUGGCACAAUUUCAGUUCACUGAAACCUCUGCCUCCUAAGUUCAAACAGUUCUUGUGCCUCAGCCUCCCAAGUAGCUGGGAUGUGCCACAACACCUGGCUAAUUUUUAUAUCUUUAGUAGAAAUGGGGUUUUGCCAUGUUGCCCAGGCUGGUCUUGAACUCCUGCCUCAAGUGAUUUGCCUGCCUUGGUCUCCCAAAGUGCUAAGAUUACAGGCGUAAGCCACCAUGCCUGGCCUGCCUCCUCUUUAGUACCUGAAAGGAAAGUAUGACUUUUAAAAAAAAUCUGUGGUUGGCUGGGCAUGGUGGCUCAUGCCUGUAAUCCCAGCACUUUGGGAGGCCGAAGCAGGUGGAUCACGAGGUCAGGAGUUCAAGACCAGCCUGGCCAAGAUGUUGAAACCCCGUCUCUACUAAAAAUACAAAAUUAGCUGGGCGCGGUGGCACGUGCCUGUAAUUCCAGCUACUCAGGAGGCUGAGGCAAGAGAAUUGCUUGAAUCCAGGAGGCGGAGGUUGCAGUGAGCCGAGAUUGCACCACUGCACUCCACCCUGGGUGAUAGAGUGAGACUCUGUCUCAAAAAAAAAAAAUCUGUGGUUAACCUACAUAGGUCUUUUUUUUUUGAGGCAGAGUCUUGUUCUGUCACCUAGGCUGGAGUGCAGUGGAGCAAUCUCAACUCACUGCAACCUCUGCCUCCUGGGUUGAAGUGAUUCUCCUGCCUCAGCCUCCUGAGUAACUGGGACGACAGGUGCACUCCACUGCACCCAGUUAAUUUUUUAUGUUUUUAGUACAGAUGGCUGUCACCAUAUUGGCCAGGUUGGUCUCAAACUAUUCACCUCAUGAUCCACCUGCCUUGGUUUCCCAAAGUCCUGGGAUUACAGGUGUGAGCCACCACUCCUGGCCUUUGUUUAUCUUUAGAAAUGGAGUCUCACUCUGUUGCCCAGGCUGGAGUGCAAUUGUGUGAUCUUGGCUUACUGCAGCCUCUGCCUCCCAGGUUCAAGUGAUUCUCCUACCUUAGCCUCCUGAGCAGCCGGAAUUACAGACAUGCACCACUAAGCCGGGUUAAUUUUUGUAAGUUAGUAGAGACUGGGUUUCACAAUGUUGGCUAGGCUGGUCUCGAACUUCUGACCUCAAGUGAUCCGCCCACUUUAGCCUCCCAAAGUUCUGGGAUUACAGGCAUGAGCCACCACGCCAGGCCUGUAUUUGUUUUGAUAUUUGUGUGUGUGUGCGUGUGUAUGUGUGUGUGUGUAGGUAUGUACACACACGCACACACAAUUGAAUAGUAGUUAUCUAUGUCUGGAACAUAAACACAGUAGUAUUUACUGUCUUGACAUUUUUUUUCCUCCCCCAAGACAGGGUCUCACUCUGUUGCCUAGGCUGGACUACAGUGGCAUGAUCAUGGCUCACUGCAGCCUCCAUUUCUCAGGCUCAAACGAUGCUCUCACCUCAGCCUCUUCAGUAGCUGGAACUACAGGCAAGCACCAAUGUGCCUGGUUAAUUUUUUGUAGAGGUGGGGUCUCAUUAUGUUACCCAUGCUAAUCUUGAACUCCUGGGUUUAGUUGAUCCCACCUUGGCCUCCCAAAGUGCUGAGAUUGCAGUAUAGGCCACUGUGAGUAGUCUGUCUGCACAUUUUAAUUGAUUAUAUAGGUCUUUCUUUUGUUGUACUCUUUCAGGCCUGUAACUGUUUGCUUUGAGUCUUUGGUGUAGUGGGAAACCCCUCUUAUCUUUCCUACAUAAUAUCAUCACCAUUUGCUACUGUUUUUUUUUUUUGACAGUUUCCAUAUUGUGGUUUAGACACAGAAGUUCACAAAAUAUUUUGUUCAUUUCACUAACUCUACAAGUAAAAACAAACUACCAAAUGGCAACAAUUUACCAAGUGUUAACUAUUUAUAAAUAUUUGACCUCCAUUCUUAUUUAUCCCAAUGUUACAAAUUUACAUAAGACAUUUUGGGUUCUGCUUUACCACAGAUAGAUGGUAUUAGGGAAAGAAAAUUAACUUUGGUGGGAUGGCUCAGGCCUAUAAUCCCAGCACUUUGGGAGGCCAAGGCCCGAAGAUCACUUGAGGCCAGUAGUUAGAGAUCAGCCUGACCAACGUGGCGAAAUUCUGUCUACUAAAAAUACAAAAAUUAGUUGGGCCUGGUGGCACGCAUCUGUAAUCCCAGCUACUUGGGAAGCCGAGGCACGAGAAUCACUUGAGCCCAGGAGGUGGAGGUUGCAGUGAGCAGAUAUCAUGCCACUGUACUCCAGCCUGGGUGACAGAAUAAGACUCUGUCUCAAAAAAAAAAAAAAAAAAAAAAAAAAAGGAGGGGGGAAUAGAAAAUUGACUUUGGUGGUGUCAGAUAGGACUAGAUUCAAUUCUAGUUUUGUCAGUUAAUAGUGGUAUGACCUUAGACCCUUUAUUUUUCCUGAGCCUCAUUUAUGAAUGGCACUCAUUAUUAACUUGGAAUCAUCUUUUUCUCAUACAUUCAGUCCCAUUAAUUAAAUGUUGUCAUUUACCUUCAAAAUAUGCCCACUACAUUUUAUCACACCACUCUAUUAUUUCACAGCUCUUACAGAAUCUGAAAUUACCUUGUUUGCACAUUUAUUUACUUGUUGAAAGUUUCUUCCUUUAAGUAAACUCCAUAUCUCUUUUUGUGGAAGUCAAUCUUGGUUGCCCUUGGAGAAGCUACCUUCUUCCAUUCUUCAUUGCUAAAAGAACCUCCUUUACCUGCCACUGUUUAAAGGAUAUUCGUGUGCUCAGUCCCAGGGGACAAAUCAAUGCAACCUUUUUUCCCUUUUGCCAGAUACUUGCUUUCUCAGUUUCCUUCACGAUUGGACCUGAUUCUGGCCAAUGGGACAUAAAGAGGCAAGUCAGCUAAGGAGUUUCUGGUAAUGGAUUUCCUCUCUGAUAAAAAGAGAUUACCCCCUUGAGGAAAUCCCUUUUGUUUCACCCCCUCCCUUUGCUUUCUGCCUUUGGAAAUGUCCUUUGAAGAUAUGAUGCCUAGAGCCAAUUUAAAACCUUGAGGGUCUAAUACAAAGAGAAUCAUAAAGAUACCAGUUCAGUGCAGUGGUCUGAUAUUGUGAAACUAUAGGCCCAACCUUAAACCAACCUAUCUCCACAUUUAUUAAUUAAAUAAUAAAUUAAGGAAACUAAAUAUUAACCAAUAAAGGAAACAGUAAAUGUCCUUAUAAUGUAAGCUAAUGCAAGCAGGCUUUAUCUCUAGUGCCAAGAACAAUACCUGGCACAUAGUAGGUGCUUAAUAUAUAAUUUUUGUUGAAUUUUUGAACUUUGUGAUUGAUUGGAUGUGGGGUGUGAGGUAAAGUGAGGAAUGGAGGUUAUUUUGUAGGUUUCUCUUUUUUAAUUAAUUAUUUAUUUAUUUUUGAGACAGAGUCUCACUCUGUCACCCAGGCUGGAGUGCAAUGGAGCAAUCUCUGCUCACUGCAACCUGUGCUGCCCGGUUUCAAGCGAUUCUCCUGCCUUAGCUUCCCGAGUAACUGGGAUUACAGGCCCCUGCCAUUGUGCCCAGCUAAUUCCUGUAUUUUCAGUAGAGACAGGGUUUCACCAUGUUGGCCAGGCUGCUCUUGAACUCCCGAACUUGUGAUCCAUCUGCCUCCCAAAGUGCUGGGAUUAUAGGUGUUAGCCACAGCGCCUGGGUGAAAGUGGUGCCUUUUUUUUUUUUUUUUUUUUUUGAGACAGAGUCUUGCUGUUUCACUGUUUCAUCAGGCUGGAGUGCGGUGGCAUUAUCUCAGGUCACUGCAACCUCUGCCUCCCGGGUUCAAGCGAUUCUCCUGCUUCAGCCUCCCAAGUAGCUGGGAAUACAGGCAGGCACCAGCAGCCCAGCUAAUUUUUCUAUUUUUAGUAGAGACGGGGUUUCCUGGGUUGGCCAGGAUGAUCUCGAUUACUUGACCUCGUGAUCCGCCCACCUUGGCCUCCCAAAGUGCUGGUAUUACAGGCAUGAGCUGAAAGUGGUGCUCUUUAUAGAGAACCCUGAAGUAGAUAGAGAACCUGGCCUUAGUGAGGAAUUGAAAGAAUGGGCCAGGCACGGUUGCAUAUAUGCUUUGGAAGGCCGAGGUGGGCGGAUCACCUGAGGUCGGGAGUUUGAGAUCAGCCUGACCAACACGGAGAAACCCCAUCUCUACGAAAAAUACAAAAUUAGGACGUGUUAGCACAUGCCUGUAAUCUCAGCUACCCAGGAGGCUGAGGCAGGAGAAUCGCUGGAACCUGGGAGGCAGAGGUUUCAGUGAGCCCAGUUGGUACCAUUGCACUCCAGUGUGGGCAACAAGAGCGGAAGAAAGGAAGGAGGGAGGGAGGGAGGAAAGGAGGGAUGGAAGGAACGAUCAUAUUUAAAGUAGAGAAAAUGAGCUUAUAAAAGGAGUCUGGGAGAAAUGAAGAAAGGAAGAGAGAGAGAGAGAUCAUAUUUAAAGUAGAGAAAAUAAGCUUAUGAAAGGAGUCUAGGCCAGGCACAGUGACUCAUGCCUGUAGUCCUAGCACUUUGGGAGGAUGAGAUGGGCAAGUCACCUGAGGUCAGGAGUUCAAGACCGGCCUGGCCAAGAUGGUGAAACCCUGUGUCUACUAAAAUACAAAAAUUAGCCAGGCAUGGCCAGGCACAGUGUCUCAGGCCUAUAGUCCUAGCACUUUGGGAGGCCAAGGUGGGUGGAUCAACUGAGGUAAGGAGUUUGAGACUAGCCUGACCAACAUGGUAAAACCCCAUCUCUACUAAAAAUAAAAAAUUAGCUGGGUGUGGUGGCAGGUGCCUGUAGUCCCAGCUACUCUGGAGGCUGAGGCAGAAGAAUCGCUUGAACCCGGGAGGUGGAGGUUGCAGUGAACUGAGACUGUGCCACUGCGCAGUGAGACUCAGUCUCUUAAAAAAAAAAAAAAAUUAGCUAGGCAUGAUGGCAGGUGCCUGUAAUCCCAGUUACUUGGGCUGAGACAGGAGAAUCACUUGAACCUGGGAGAAGGUAGUUGCAGAGUCAAGAUCACACCGCUGCACUCCAGCCUGGGCAGCUGAGUGAGACUCCAUCUCACAAAUAAAUAAAUAAAUACAUAUAAAAAUAAAAGGAGUCUGAUAAAGAAUGAUCAAAGAGGAAGAACUGGGAGUUUUACAAUCCAAGUAAAGAGUUUUCAGAGAGUACAGUGUCCGAUGCUGCAGAGAGGUUAAAUAGGGUAAAUAUUAGAAAGGGUCCAUUGUAUUAAAUAUGUAGAAAACAAUAUGGUGUCUAUUUUUAUUUUCUUAUUGGACAAUAUUGAGAGGGUAGCAUGCCAGGUACUCUUUAUAAGUGUUGGAUAGAUGUAACAGUGAAUAAAAUAAGUCUCACUGGAGUGAUGAGAAGGGACAUGCUUGCCUCUUCCUAAUCUUAGUGGGAAAGCUUCUAAUUUCUCACUUUUAAGUAUAAUGUUAGUUGUAGGGAUUUUGUAGAUAUUUUUGAUCAAAUCGAGAAAGUUCCCCUCUAUCCUAGUUUACCAAGAGAGUUUAUUAUGAAUGAGUGUUGGAUUUUGUCAGAUGCUUCUUCUGCAUCUGUUGAUAUGAUUAUGUGAUUUUUUUCUUUCAAGGAGUCUUGCUUUAUCGCCCAGACUGGAGUGCAGUGGCACUAUCUUGGCUCACUGCAACCUCCACCGCCUGGGUUCAAGUGAUUCUCGUGCCUCCGCCACUGGAGUAGCUGGGAUUACAGGUGCACGUCACAGAACCUGGUUAUUUCUGUAUUAGUAGAAACAGGGUUUUGCCAUGUUGGCCAGGUUGGUCUUGACCUCUAACCUUAAGCCAUCCACCUGCCUUGGCCUCCCAAAGUCCUGGGAUUACAGGCGUGAGGCACCUUGCCCAGCCUUUUUCUUCUUUAGACUGCUGAUCUGAUGGAUUAUAUUAAUUGAUUAUUUUAUUUUUUAUUGAGAUGGAUCUCACCCUGUCACCUAGGCUGGAGUGCAGUGGCAUGAACAUAGCUCACUCCAGUAUUGAUCUCCUCGGCUCCAGCAAUCCUCUCACCUCAGCCUCCUGAGUAGCUAGGACUAACAUGGACAAGAUGGUGGGAGUCCUAUGGAGUCCUUAAGCCAUAUAAUAUGCAAAGGAUGAAGGAAGAUCAAGUCUAGGUGCCUGAUGACAACAUGGAGCUGUCACACAAGCCCUGGAUUGCCUACCCUUGGACUUCUCAUUAUGGGAGAAAAUGAAACAAUUCUUUUAAGCCACAUUGAUCUUUCUUCCUAUUUUUAUUUUUCUUUUGUUGAGUGUGUGUUUGUGUCUGUUAUUUACAGCUGAUUGUAAUUCAUAACUGAUGUGGUAGUGGGACUGUACAAGUUUUGUCUUCUGAUGCUUUUCUUUUUCUUUUUUCUUCACUGAAACGGAGAGGGUGAUCAUUAGCUAAAUGUAAGGAUUGGGGAAGGAGUGUGGGAGGCUUGUGGAGAGAAGAUGCGUGAAAUAGUUAUCUCUGAAUGGUAGAGUAAAUUAAGUAGGGAGAUACAGUAGGUCAUUCAGAUAUCUGUGGUUGUAAAUAUAAAAUGAGAUCAGUCAUCUGGAUUCUGUUUUUCUCUAGUCAGGUUUACCUGCUCAGGAGAAGGUAUAAACUUGAUAGUGAUUGGACUUAACCAGGAUUUAUAAUUUGCUAAAGCUAUUGUGUCACCAUUUAUGAAAUAGAAAAAGAUACUGUACGAUCACUGAGAAGACAGUUGACUGAAUGGACUUAUAAAAAACAGGUGACUGCUGGCCGGGCACGGUGGCUCAUGCCUGUAAUCCUAGCGCUUUGAGAGACCGAGAUAGAGGAUUUCCUGAGCUCAGGAGUUCAAGACCAGCCUGGGCAACACGGUGAAACCCCGUCUCUACUGAAAUACAAAAAAUUAGCUGGGGGUGGUGGCAUGUGUCUUUAAGCUACUUGGGAGGCCGAGGCUGAAGAAUUGCUUGAACCGAGGAAGUGGAGGUUGCAGUGAGCUGAGAUUGUUCCACUGCACUCCAGCCUGGGUGACAGAACGAGACUCAUCUCAAAAAACAAAAACAAAACAAAACAUGUAAUUAAUAAAAGCAGUAGACUUGAAAGUACAACUUACACAUAUUUUUUGAAUGGGUAAAAUUCCCAUGGUUCAAACAUUAAAGAGGUAAAAAGAUACACAGGCACACCUUAGUUUAUUGCACUUCACUUUAUUGAACUUUUCUUUUUCUUUCUUGAGACAGUUUUGCUCUUGUUGCCCAUACUGGCAUACAUGGGCAGUCCCACCACAACCUCUUCCUCCUGGGUUCAAGCGAUUCUCCUGCCUCAGCUCCCGAGUAGCUGGGAUUACAGGCAUGCACCACCAUGCCCAGCUAAUCUUUGUAUUUUUGGUAGAGAUGGGGUUUCACCACAUCGGCACGGCUGGUGUCGAACUCCUGACCCCAAGUGAUUCGCCUGCCUCGGCCUCCCAAAGCACUGGGAUUGCAGGCUUGAGCCACCUUGCCCAGCACUUUUUUUUUUUUUUAAAGACGGAAUUUUGCUCUUGUUGCCCAGGCUAGAGUGUAAUAGCACAUCCUGGCUCCGCCUGCCUAAUUUUUUUUUUUUUUUGAGAUGAAGUCUUGCUCUGUAGCCCAGGCUGGAGUGCAGUGGUGCGAUAUGAGCUCACUGCAACCUCCACCUCCCAGGUUCAAGUGAUUCUCCUGCCUCAGCCUCCCAAAGAGGUGGGACUACAGGUGUGUGCCAGCACGCCCAGCUAAUUUUUUGUAUUUUUUUUAGUAGAGACAGGGCUUCACCAUGUUAGCCAGGAUGGUCUUGAGCACCUGACCUCAUGAUCCUCCCACCUUGGCCUCCCAAAGUGCUGGGAUUAUAGGCAUGAGCCACCAUGCCCAGCCCACUUUACUGAACUUCAUGAAGAAUUAGGGUUUUUCUCUUUCAUUUUUUUAUAGACAUAUUGAAGGUUUAUGGCAACUCUACAUCAAGCAAGGUUGGCACCAUUUUCCCAAUAGCGUUUGCUCACUUCAUGUCUCUGUAUCACAUUUUGGUAAUUCUUAUAAUAUAACUUUUUCAUUACAGGCCACAUGCAGUGGCUUACGCCUAUAUUCCUAGCAUUUAGGGAGGCCAAAGCAGGUGGAUCUCCUGAGGUCAGAAGUUCAAGACAAGCCUGGCCAACAUGGCAAGACCCCGUCCCUACUAAAAAUACAAAAUUAGCCAGGUGUGGUGGCACACACCUAUGAUCCCAGCUACUUGGGAGGCUGAGGCAGGAGAAUCCUUUGAACUCAGAAGGUGGAGGUUGCUAUGAGCCGAGAUUGCACCAUUGCACUCCAGCCUGGGAGACAAAGCAAGAUUCUGUCUCAAAAAAAAAAAAAGGAAAAAACAGCUUUUUUAUUGUUAUUGUAUUUGUUAUGGUGAUCUGUGAUUAGUAAUCUUUGAUGUUAUUAUUGUGAUGGUUUUGGAGUGCCACAAACAUAAGAUCCCAUAUGCCAUUGAUCUUAAUCUAUAAAUGUGUGUAUUGUGAUUGUGCCACUGACCAGCCAUUUCCCAUCUCCUCUCCUUAGGCUUCCCUGUUCAAUUAGACACAACAUUGAAAUCAGACCAAUUAACCCUACAGUAGUCUCUGAGAGAGGCUAAAAGUUAAGCCUCUGGUGCUAAACACCCAAAUUGUGAGUGCAAAGGAAAAGUUCUUAAAGGAAAUUAAAAGUGCUACUCCAGUGAACACAUGAAUGAUAAGAAAGUGAAAUAGGCCAGGCGUGGUGACUCAUGCCUGUAAUCCCAGCACUUUGGAAGGUUGAGGUGGGAGGAUCACCUGAGGUCAGUAGUUCAGGACCAGCCUGGCCAACAUGGUGAAACUCUUGUCUUCACUAAAAAUACAAAAAUUAUCUGGGUAUGGUGGGGCAUACCUGUAAUCCCAGCCACUUGGGAGGCUGAGGCAAGAGAGUCGCUUGAACCAGGAAUGGGGAAGGGGAAGGCCCACUGAAAAAAAAAAAAGGAAAAAAGAACCAGGAGGUGGAGGUUGCAGUGAGCUGAGAUUGUGCUGCUGAACUCCAGCCUUGUUAACAGAGGAAAACUCUCUCAAAAAACAACAACAGCAACAACAACAAAACCAGUCUUAUUGCUGCUGAGAGGGAGAAAGUUUUAGUAGUCUGGAUAGAAGAUCAAACCAGCCACAACAUUCCCUUAAACUAAAGCCUAAUCCAGAGAAAAGCCUCAGUUCUGUUUAAUUCUAUGAAGGCUGAGAGAGGUGAAGAAGCUGCAGAAGAAAAGUUUGAAGCUAGCAGAGGUUGGCUUGUGAGGUUUAAGGAAAGAAGCCAUCUCCGUAACAUAAAAGUGCAAAGCAAAGCAACAGGUGCUGAUGUAGAAGCUGCAGCAAGUGAUCCAGAAGAUCUAGCUAAGAUCAUUGAUGAAGGUGGCUAUAUUAAACAUUUUUGGCCAGGCACAGUGCCUCACAUCUAAUCCCAGCACUUCGUGAGGUUGAGGUGAGAGCAUUGCUUGAGGCCAGCCUGAACAACAGAGCAAGGCUUUUUUUUUACUGAGUAGCUGGGAUUACAGGUGCAUGCCACUGUGUUAGCCUAACUUGUGCUAGCCUAACUGACUCCAUCUUAGCUGUGAGCCUGACAAGCUCCAUCUUAGCUUUCCCUCCCUGCUAUGGCCCCCUCAGGGGCAUUACUGGUUCAUGCUGUACUCAGAACCUUGAACCAUUGAGGUUUGGGUCACACUGUUCUCAGAACCUCCAACUGAUGUAACCACAUCCUGCUUGGCAAGCCCACCUGCUAUUGUGAAAAACCCCCUCGGUGGUUGAUUAUAUAGAACGACCCCCUGCUACCCCCAUUGGUGAUUGUAUGGAAAUACCCUUGGUAACCAGCAACUAUGGGAACCUCCUGCCUUCUGGUUAUCAGCUUACUCCUAACUUACUUGUUCUGCUUCAGUAAAAUUCCACUUUGCCACCCCCUCUUCUCUAAGCAAGGUAUAAAAAGGAAUCAGACCCCUUCUUCAGGGCUGAGAGAAUUUUGAACAUUAGCCGUCUCGGUCGCUGGCAAUAAAGGACUCUCAAUUGAAGCUCAGAGCAUGGCACUUUCCUUACAACUCGCUUGGUUACCACACCACCAUGCUCAACUAAUUUUUUGUAUUGGUACAAACGGGGUUUCACCAUGUCGGUCAGGCUGGUCUUGAACUCCCAACCUCAGGUGAUCCACCCACCUUGGCCUCCAAAGUGCUUGGAUUACAGGUGUGAGCCACCAUGUCCGGCCCCAGAACAUUUUUUGUCUUCUCAAAAGAAACUCAGUGUCCAUUAACAGUUACUCCCAUUGCUGCCCUCCACCCAGCCUGGGCAACCACUAGUCUACUUUGUUUCCUUCCAUUUCCCUAUUCCAGACCUUUCAUAUAAAUGGAAUCAUACAAAAUAUGCGGCUUAUUAUGGCUGACUUCUCUCACUUAGCUGAUCUUUUCAAGGUUGAUUCAUGUUGUGGCAUGUAUCAGUACUUCAUUUCUUUGUAUUGCUAAACAAUAUUCCAUUGGAUGGAUAUACCACAUUUUCCUUCCUUCCUUCCUUCCUUCCUUCCUUCCUUCCUUCCUUCCUUCCUUCCUUCCUUUUUUCUUUGAGAUGGAGCCUUGCUCUGUCACCCAUGCUGAAGUGCAGUGGCGUGAUCUCGGCUCACUGCAACCUCCACUUCCCGGGCUCAAGCAAUUCUCCUGCCUCAGCUGCCUAAGUAGCUGGAAUUACAGGUGUGGGCCACCAUGCCUGGCCAAUUUUUGAAUUUUUAGUAGAGACAGGGUUUCACCAUGUUGGUCAGGCGGCUCUGGAACUUUUGGCCUCAGGUGAUCUGCCCACCUAGGCCUCCCAAAGUGCUGAGAUUAUAGGUGUGAGCCACUGCACCCACCUACCACAUUUUCUUUUUAUUUAUGUAUUUAUUUUUUGAGAGAGUUCCACUCUUGUUGCCCAGGCUGGGGUGCAUUGGCACGAUCUUGGCUCACUGCAAUCUCUGCCUCCUGGGUUCAAGCAAUUCUCCUGCCUCAGUCUCCCUAGUAGCUGGGAUUACAGGUGGAUGCCACAACACCCAGCUAAUUUUUGUGUUUUUAGUAAAGACGGGGUUUCACCAUGUUGGUCGGUCUGGUUUUGAACUCCUGACCUCAGGCAAUCUGCCCGCCUCAGCCUCCCAGAGUGCUGGGAUUACAAGCAUAAUCCCAACUGCACCCACUGUGCGACUGCACCCAACCCACAUUUUCUUUUUCUUUCUUUCUUUGAGACAGAGUUUUCUUUUGCCCAGGCUGGAGUGCAAUGGCUACCUCUGCUUACCAAAACCUCCGCCUCCUGGGUUCAAGUGAUUUCUUCUGCCUCAGCCUCCCGAGUAGCUGGGAUUACAGGCAUGCAUCACUUCGCCCGGCUAAUUUUGUAUUUUUAGUAAAACAGAGUUUCUCUGUGUUGGUCAGGCUGAUCUCGAAUUCCCGACCUCAGGUGACCUCAGGUGGCACAUGCCACCACACCCAGCUAAUUGUUUUUGUAUUUUUAGUAGAGACGGGGUUUCAUCAUGUUGGCCAGGAUGGUCUCAAUCUCUUGACCUCAUGAUCCACCCGCCUCCGCCUCCCAAAGUGCUGGGAUUACAGGCUUGAGCCACCGCACCCAGCCGACACUUGUCUUUUUUAUGAUGGUCCUCCUAUUGGAUAUGAGGUGGUAUCUCAUUGAGUUUUUUGUUUGUUUGUUUUUGAGACAGUUUUGCUCUGUUGCCCAGGCUGGAGUGCAGUUGUAUAAUCUCAGCUCACUGCAACCUCAGCUCCCCAAGUAGCUGGGAUUACAGGCACCUGCUACCAUGGCAGGCUAAUUUUUGUAUCUUUAGUAGUGAUGGGGUUUCACCAUGUUGACCAGGCUGGUCUUGAACUCCCGACCUCAGGUGAUCCACCCGCCUUGGCCUCCCAAAGUGCUGGGAUUCCAGGUGUGAGCCACCAUGCCCUGUCCUCACCGUGUUUUGAUUAGCAUUUCUCUGAUGACCAAUGGUUUUGGGCAUCUUUUCAUAUGUUUAUUGGUCAUUUGCAUUUCUUCUUUGGAUAAAUGUAUAUUCAUAUGAUUUGCCUAUUAAAAAUUUUUAGUGUUGAGUUGUGUGAGUUCUUUAUAUAUUCUGGACAUAAGUCUCUUAUCUGAUAUAUGGUUUGCAAAUAUUUAUUUCUUCCAUCAUGUGGGUUGUCUUACACUUUUAUCCCCCCCCCUUUUGAUAAAGAGCUGAUUUUUUUUUUGAGUUGGGGUGUUGCUAUGUUUCCCAGGUUGAUCUUGAAAUCCUGGGUGUAAGUGAUCCUCCUGCCUCAGCCUCACAGAGUAGCUGAGAUUGCAGGAGCAUGCCACCAUGCCUGGUUCGACACCUAAAAAAAAAAAAAUUAAGACCAGGUACAGUGGCUCACACCUGUAAUCCCAGCACUUUGGGAGGCUGAGGUGGUUGGGUCACCUGAAGUCGGGAGUUUGAGACCAGCCUGACCAAUAUGAAGAAACCCUGUCUCUACUAAAAAUAAAAAAUUAGCUGGGUGUGGUAGCACGAACCUGUAAUCCCAGCUACUCAGGAGGCUGAGACAGGAGAAUCGCUUAAACCCAAGAUCAUGCCACUGCACUCCAGCCUGGGCAACAAGAGCAAAGCUCCAUCUAAAAACAAAGUCCAUCUUACCAUUUUGUUUUUCUUUUGUUGUUUGUGCUUUUGGUGUCAUAUCUAAGAAAGCAUUGCCUAAUCAAAAGUAAUUAAGAUUUAUCUCUGUUUUCUUCUGAGUUUUAUGGCUUUAGCUCUUAUAUUUAGGUCUUUGAUCCAUUUUGAGUUAAUUUUUGUGUAUGGUCUGAGAUAGGAGUCUGUAUUAGUUUCACAGAGCUGCUUUUAAGCCACAACCUGAGUGGCUUAAAAGAACAGAAAUGUAUGACCUUAUAGUUCUAUAGGCUGGAAGUUUGAAAUCAACGUGUUGGCAAAUUUGGCUCCUUUUGGAGGCUCUGAGGGAGAAUCCAUUCCAUGUCUCUCUCCUAGCUUCUGCUGGUUGCUGACAAUCCUUGGAAUUCCUUACCUUGCAGACAUCACUACAAUUUCUCUAUCUGUUGCUACCGGGUAUUUUCCCCAUGUAUCUGUGUCUUCACAUGGCCUUCUUAUAAGGACAGUCAUUAGAUUUAGCGCCCACUCUAAUCCAGUAAUUCCUCAUCUUAACUAACUACAUUUGCAAAGAUCCUAUUUCUAAGGAGGGCCACAUUCUGAGGUUGUAGGUGGACACUGAAUGUCGGGUAGGGGGACACUUCACACAGCAGUCUAACUACAUUCCUUUGCAUGUGAAUAUCCAGUUGUCCCAGCAUCAUUUGUAGAAAAGACUUCUUUGGAGCACCUUGUUACAGCCUAGCAUGGGUGAAAGUCUAGGCUCACCACUGUCUUGCCGGUAUAGGUAGAGGUGGGGCCGUGUUUUUUUCUGUGGCAUUUGGCUGGAGUAGAGGAGUUACUAUUUAAAAGUUUGCUGUCUUGCUAGAUCAUCCCUUUCUUGGUUCUUUGGCUAGGAAGAGCAGACUCUUUUUCUUUUUUUUGGUCUCACCCUUUGGCAUUUUUGGAUUGUCAGCUUCUUCAGUUCCAAGGCUUUGAGAUGUAAGGUAAAAAGAAAACCCAGGGAAUUCAUCACCAUGUUGUUCUUGUUCCCAAGAUCCCUAGCUCAUCUGCUGUCUUCUCUCCAUCUUUCAGUCUUCUUCUUCUUCUUUUUUCUUUUGAGACUUAGUCUCACUCUGUUGCCCAAGCUGGAGUUCAGUGGUUCAAUCUUGGCUCAUUGCAACCUCCACCUCCUGUAUUCAAGCAAUUCUUCUGCCUUAUCAUCCUGAGUAGCUGUGAUUACAGGCCUGUGCCACCACGUCCAGCUAAUUUUUGUAUUUUAGUAGAGAUGGGGCUUCACCAUAUUGGCCAGGCUGGUCGUGAACUCCUGACCUCAAGAUAUCCACCUGUCUCAGUCUUUCAAAGUGCUGGGAUUACAGGCAUAAGCCAUCAUGCCUGGCCUUUCUUUCAGUCUUCUUAUGUUUGUUUUAUAUAUAAUGUCCAGGGUUUUUAGUUGUAUUUAGUGGGAGGAAUUUGGGAAGUAUGUCUGCUCCACCUUCCUAGUGCACUGAAUUUAUAAGGCAAUUUAAGUAGAAUUAACAUCUUUGUAAUCUGGUACUUCCAAAUAAUGAAUGUGAUAUAUCUCAGUAUAUUAAUCAUAAUAUCUUCAUAAUAUCUCUCAAUAAAGAUACUUUCUUGUA